rnacentral:tRNA from 1 species
CUUUUAAAGGAUAGUAGUUAUCCAUUGGUCUUAGGAACCAAAAAAU